rnacentral:tRNA from 1 species
GCCGUGGUGGUGUAGUUUGGCAGCAUGUGGGACUGUGGAUCCCUUGGCUCGGGUUCAAAUCCCGACCACGGCC